GUCUACGGCCAUGCCACCCUGAACAAGCCCAAUCCCGGCUGAUCUCGGAAGCUAAGCAGGGUCGGGCCUGGUUAGUACUUGGAUAGGAGACCACCUAGGAAGAAAACCAGGUGCUGUAGGCA
rnacentral:rRNA from 1 species